rnacentral:rRNA from 1 species
UUAAGCGACUAAGCGUACACGGUGGAUGCCCUGGCAGUCAGAGGCGAUGAAGGACGUGCUAAUCUGCGAUAAGCGUCGGUAAGGUGAUAUGAACCGUUAUAACCGGCGAUUUCCGAAUGGGGAAACCCAGUGUGAUUCGUCACACUAUCAUUAACUGAAUCCAUAGGUUAAUGAGGCGAACCGGGGGAACUGAAACAUCUAAGUACCCCGAGGAAAAGAAAUCAACCGAGAUUCCCCCAGUAGCGGCGAGCGAACGGGGAGGAGCCCAGAGCCUGAAUUAGUGUGUGUGUUAGUGGAAGCGUCUGGAAAGGCGCGCGAUACAGGGUGACAGCCCCGUACACAAAAAUGCACAUAUUGUGAGCUCGAUGAGUAGGGCGGGACACGUGGUAUCCUGUCUGAAUAUGGGGGGACCAUCCUCCAAGGCUAAAUACUCCUGACUGACCGAUAGUGAACCAGUACCGUGAGGGAAAGGCGAAAAGAACCCCGGCGAGGGGAGUGAAAAAGAACCUGAAACCGUGUACGUACAAGCAGUGGGAGCACGCUUAGGCGUGUGACUGCGUACCUUUUGUAUAAUGGGUCAGCGACUUAUAUUCUGUAGCAAGGUUAACCGAAUAGGGGAGCCGAAGGGAAACCGAGUCUUAACUGGGCGUUAAGUUGCAGGGUAUAGACCCGAAACCCGGUGAUCUAGCCAUGGGCAGGUUGAAGGUUGGGUAACACUAACUGGAGGACCGAACCGACUAAUGUUGAAAAAUUAGCGGAUGACUUGUGGCUGGGGGUGAAAGGCCAAUCAAACCGGGAGAUAGCUGGUUCUCCCCGAAAGCUAUUUAGGUAGCGCCUCGUGAAUUCAUCUCCGGGGGUAGAGCACUGUUUCGGCAAGGGGGUCAUCCCGACUUACCAACCCGAUGCAAACUGCGAAUACCGGAGAAUGUUAUCACGGGAGACACACGGCGGGUGCUAACGUCCGUCGUGAAGAGGGAAACAACCCAGACCGCCAGCUAAGGUCCCAAAGUCAUGGUUAAGUGGGAAACGAUGUGGGAAGGCCCAGACAGCCAGGAUGUUGGCUUAGAAGCAGCCAUCAUUUAAAGAAAGCGUAAUAGCUCACUGGUCGAGUCGGCCUGCGCGGAAGAUGUAACGGGGCUAAACCAUGCACCGAAGCUGCGGCAGCGACGCUUAUGCGUUGUUGGGUAGGGGAGCGUUCUGUAAGCCUGUGAAGGUGUGCUGUGAGGCAUGCUGGAGGUAUCAGAAGUGCGAAUGCUGACAUAAGUAACGAUAAAGCGGGUGAAAAGCCCGCUCGCCGGAAGACCAAGGGUUCCUGUCCAACGUUAAUCGGGGCAGGGUGAGUCGACCCCUAAGGCGAGGCCGAAAGGCGUAGUCGAUGGGAAACAGGUUAAUAUUCCUGUACUUGGUGUUACUGCGAAGGGGGGACGGAGAAGGCUAUGUUGGCCGGGCGACGGUUGUCCCGGUUUAAGCGUGUAGGCUGGUUUUCCAGGCAAAUCCGGAAAAUCAAGGCUGAGGCGUGAUGACGAGGCACUACGGUGCUGAAGCAACAAAUGCCCUGCUUCCAGGAAAAGCCUCUAAGCAUCAGGUAACAUCAAAUCGUACCCCAAACCGACACAGGUGGUCAGGUAGAGAAUACCAAGGCGCUUGAGAGAACUCGGGUGAAGGAACUAGGCAAAAUGGUGCCGUAACUUCGGGAGAAGGCACGCUGAUAUGUAGGUGAAGUCCCUCGCGGAUGGAGCUGAAAUCAGUCGAAGAUACCAGCUGGCUGCAACUGUUUAUUAAAAACACAGCACUGUGCAAACACGAAAGUGGACGUAUACGGUGUGACGCCUGCCCGGUGCCGGAAGGUUAAUUGAUGGGGUUAGCGCAAGCGAAGCUCUUGAUCGAAGCCCCGGUAAACGGCGGCCGUAACUAUAACGGUCCUAAGGUAGCGAAAUUCCUUGUCGGGUAAGUUCCGACCUGCACGAAUGGCGUAAUGAUGGCCAGGCUGUCUCCACCCGAGACUCAGUGAAAUUGAACUCGCUGUGAAGAUGCAGUGUACCCGCGGCAAGACGGAAAGACCCCGUGAACCUUUACUAUAGCUUGACACUGAACAUUGAGCCUUGAUGUGUAGGAUAGGUGGGAGGCUUUGAAGUGUGGACGCCAGUCUGCAUGGAGCCGACCUUGAAAUACCACCCUUUAAUGUUUGAUGUUCUAACGUUGACCCGUAAUCCGGGUUGCGGACAGUGUCUGGUGGGUAGUUUGACUGGGGCGGUCUCCUCCUAAAGAGUAACGGAGGAGCACGAAGGUUGGCUAAUCCUGGUCGGACAUCAGGAGGUUAGUGCAAUGGCAUAAGCCAGCUUGACUGCGAGCGUGACGGCGCGAGCAGGUGCGAAAGCAGGUCAUAGUGAUCCGGUGGUUCUGAAUGGAAGGGCCAUCGCUCAACGGAUAAAAGGUACUCCGGGGAUAACAGGCUGAUACCGCCCAAGAGUUCAUAUCGACGGCGGUGUUUGGCACCUCGAUGUCGGCUCAUCACAUCCUGGGGCUGAAGUAGGUCCCAAGGGUAUGGCUGUUCGCCAUUUAAAGUGGUACGCGAGCUGGGUUUAGAACGUCGUGAGACAGUUCGGUCCCUAUCUGCCGUGGGCGCUGGAGAACUGAGGGGGGCUGCUCCUAGUACGAGAGGACCGGAGUGGACGCAUCACUGGUGUUCGGGUUGUCAUGCCAAUGGCACUGCCCGGUAGCUAAAUGCGGAAGAGAUAAGUGCUGAAAGCAUCUAAGCACGAAACUUGCCCCGAGAUGAGUUCUCCCUGACCCUUUAAGGGUCCUGAAGGAACGUUGAAGACGACGACGUUGAUAGGCCGGGUGUGUAAGCGCAGCGAUGCGUUGAGCUAACCGGUACUAAUGAACCGUGAGGCUUAACCUU